GCCGGGCGCGGUGGCUCACGCCUGUAAUCCCAGCGCUUUGGGAGGCUGAGGUGGGUGGAUCACCUGAGGUCAGGAGUUCCAGACCAGCCUGACCAACAUGGAGAAACCCCGUCUCUA
ensembl:misc_RNA Metazoa_SRP Metazoan signal recognition particle RNA